rnacentral:rRNA from 1 species
GUGACCUCAAAUCAGGUAGGACUACCCGCUGAACUUAAGCAUAUCAAUAAGCGGAGGAAAAGAAACUAACAAGGAUUCCCCUAGUAACUGCGAGUGAAGCGGGAAAAGCUCAAAUUUAAAAUCUGGCGGCCUUUGGCUGUCCGAGUUGUAAUCUAGAGAAGUGUUAUCCGCGCUGGACCGUGUACAAGUCUCCUGGAAUGGAGCGUCAUAGAGGGUGAGAAUCCCGUCUUUGACACGGACUGCCAGGGCUUUGUGAUGCGCUCUCAAAGAGUCGAGUUGUUUGGGAAUGCAGCUCAAAAUGGGUGGUAAAUUCCAUCUAAAGCUAAAUAUUGGCGAGAGACCGAUAGCGAACAAGUACCGUGAGGGAAAGAUGAAAAGAACUUUGGAAAGAGAGUUAAACAGUACGUGAAAUUGCUGAAAGGGAAACGCUUGAAGUCAGUCGCGUUGUCCAGGGAUCAACCUUGCUUUUGCUUGGUGCACUUUCUGGUUGACGGGUCAGCAUCAAUUUUGACUAUUGGAAAAAGAUUAGGGGAAUGUGGCAUCUUCGGAUGUGUUAUAGCCCUUGGUUGCAUACAAUGGUUGGGAUUGAGGAACUCAGCACGCCGCAAGGCCGGGUUUUAACCACGUACGUGCUUAGGAUGCUGGCAUAAUGGCUUUAAUCGACCCGUCUUGAAACACGGACCAAGGAGUCUAACAUGCCUGCGAGUGUUUGGGUGGAAAACCCGAGCGCGUAAUGAAAGUGAAAGUUGAGAUCCCUGUCGUGGGGAGCAUCGACGCCCGGACCAGACCUUUUGUGACGGUUCCGCGGUAGAGCAUGUAUGUUGGGACCCGAAAGAUGGUGAACUAUGCCUGAAUAGGGUGAAGCCAGAGGAAACUCUGGUGGAGGCUCGUAGCGAUUCUGACGUGCAAAUCGAUCGUCAAAUUUGGGUAUAGGGGCGAAAGACUAAUCGAACCAUCUAGUAGCUGGUUCCUGCCGA